UACGGAAGGUGCAAGCGUUGUUCGGAUUGACUGGGCGUAAAGCGCACGUAGGCGGGUUCGCAAGUCGGAUGUGAAAGCCCCGGGCUUAACCUGGGAACUGCACUCGAAACUGCGAAUCUUGAAUGCUUGAGAGGUUGGUAGAAUUCCUGGUGUAGGAGUGAAAUCCGUAGAUAUCAGGAGGAAUAUCGGAGGCGAAGGCGACCAACUGGUGGUGCAUUGACGCUGAGGUGCGAAAGCGUGGGUAGCAAACAGG
rnacentral:rRNA from 1 species